GACGAACGCUGGCGGUGUGCUUAACACAUGCAAGUCGAACGGUAAGGCCCUUUCGGGGGUACACGAGUGGCGAACGGGUGAGUAACACGUGAGUAACCUGCCCUCAUCUCUGGGAUAACAGUCGGAAACGGCUGCUAAUACUGGAUAUGAGCUUGCAAGGCAUCUUGUGGGUUGGAAAGAUUUUUUUGGUUGGGGAUGGACUCGCGGCCUAUCAGCUUGUUGGUGAGGUAGUGGCUCACCAAGGCUUCGACGGGUAGCCGGCCUGAGAGGGCGACCGGCCACAUUGGGACUGAGAUACGGCCCAAACUCCGACGGGAGGCAGCAGUGGGGAAUAUUGCACAAUGGACGGAAGUCUGAUGCAGCAACGCCGCGUGCGGGAUGACGGCCUUCGGGUUGUAAACCGCUUUCAAUUGUGACGAAGCUUUUUGUGACGGUAGCAGUAGAAGAAGCACCGGCUAACUACGUG
rnacentral:rRNA from 1 species